rnacentral:rRNA from 1 species
ACGGAAGGCAGCAGUGGGGAAUAUUGCACAAUGGGCGAAAGCCUGAUGCAGCGACGCCGCGUGAGUGAAGAAGUAUCUCGGUAUGUAAAGCUCUAUCAGCAGGGAAGAAAAUGACGGUACCUGACUAAGAAGCCCCGGCUAACUACGUGCCAGCAGCCGCGGUAAUACGUAGGGGGCAAGCGUUAUCCGGAUUUACUGGGUGUAAAGGGAGCGUAGACGGUUUGGCAAGUCUGAAGUGAAAUGCGGGGGCUCCACUCCUGAACUGCUUUGGAAACUGUCGAACUAGAGUGCAGGAGAGGUAAGUGGAAUUCCUAGUGUAGCGGUGAAAUGCGUAGAUAUUAGGAGGAACACCAGUGGCGAAGGCGGCUUACUGGACUGUAACUGACGUUGAGGCUCGAAAGCGUGGGGAGCAAACAGGAUUAGAUACCCUGGUA